rnacentral:rRNA from 1 species
CGAGUGAAGCGGCAAAAGCUCAAAUUUGAAAUCUGGCUCUUUCAGAGUCCGAGUUGUAAUUUGAAGAAGGUAUCUUUGGGUCUGGCUCUUGUCUAUGUUUCUUGGAACAGAACGUCACAGAGGGUGAGAAUCCCGUGCGAUGAGAUGAUCCAGGCCUAUGUAAAGUUCCUUCGAAGAGUCGAGUUGUUUGGGAAUGCAGCUCUAAGUGGGUGGUAAAUUCCAUCUAAAGCUAAAUAUUGGCGAGAGACCGAUAGCGAACAAGUACAGUGAUGGAAAGAUGAAAAGAACUUUGAAAAGAGAGUGAAAAAGUACGUGAAAUUGUUGAAAGGGAAGGGCUUGAGAUCAGACUUGGUAUUUUGUAUGUUACUUCUUCGGGGGUGGCCUCUACAGUUUAUCGGGCCAGCAUCAGUUUGGGCGGUAGGAGAAUUGCGUUGGAAUGUGGCACGGCUUCGGUUGUGUGUUAUAGCCUUCGUCGAUACUGCCAGCCUAGACUGAGGACUGCGGUUUAUACCUAGGAUGUUGGCAUAAUGAUCUUAAGUCGCCCGUCUUGAAACACGGACCAAGGAGUCUAACGUCUAUGCGAGUGUUUGGGUGUAAAACCCGUACGCGUAAUGAAAGUGAACGUAGGUGGGGGCCCGUAUGGGUGCACCAUCGACCGAUCCUGAUGUCUUCGGAUGGAUUUGAGUAAGAGCAUAGCUGUUGGGACCCGAAAGAUGGUGAACUAUGCCUGAAUAGGGUGAAGCCAGAGGAAACUCUGGUG